rnacentral:lncRNA from 1 species
UGGUCAACCUCAGACAUGGGAAAGUGAGAGCCAUCUGAUCUACUUCAGACAUGGCAAGGCAAGAGCCAUCUCGUUGACCAUAGACAGGGCAAGGUGGGAGCCAUCAAGUCCACCUCAGACAUGGCAAGGCGAGAGCCAUCUAGUCUGCCUCAGACAUGGCAAGGUGAGAGCCAUCUGGUUAACUUUAGACAUGGGAAGGAGAGCCAACUGGUUGGCCUCAGACAUGGAAAGGCUAGAGCCAUCCAGUCGACCUCAGAAAUGGGAAAGAGAGAGCCAUCUGGACAACCUUAAACAUGACAAAAUGAGAGCCAUCUGGUAGACUUUAGACAUAGAAUGGCAAGAGCCAUCUGGUCAAUCGUAGAUGUGGCAAGGUGAGAGCCAUCUGAUUGACCUAGACAUGGCAAGGUGAGAGACAUCUGGUCGACUGAAGACAAGGAAAAAUGAAAGCCAUCUGGUUGAGCUUAGACAUGGCAAGGCAAGAGUCAUCUGGCCGACCUUAGACAUGGAAAAAGAAGAGCCAUCUGUUUGACCUUAGACAUGGCAAGGCAAGAUCCAUCUGGUCAACCUUAGACAUGGCAAGGUGAGAGCCAUCUUGUUGAACUCACUCGAAGAGGAGACCCAUCUGGUCAACCUCAGACAUGGCAAGGUGAGAGCCAUCUGAUCGACCUUAGACAUGGCAAGGUGAGAGCCAUCUGGUCGACCUUAGAUAUGGCAAGGUGAGAAUCAUCUGGUCAAUCUUAAACAUGGCAAGGUGAGAUCCAACUUGACCUUAGAUAUGAUGAGGUGAGAACCAACUGUUCAAUCUUAGACAUGGCUAGGCAAGUGCCAUCUGGUCCACCUUAGAUAUGGCAAGGCGAGAGCCAUCUGGUCGACCUUAGACAUGGCAAGGUGAGAGCUGUCUGUUCAUCUUAGACAUGACAAGCUGGCAGCUAAAUGCGAUGCAUGCAGUCGACAUCCAUCUCAAAAUAAAUGAACCAACAGUAAAUAUAUAACAAUAACAAGGAAAUAAUAGUGAACAACCCUAAAGACCAAAUAAUUAAGUAGGAGUGUACAAUAAUAAAAGGUAA